UACGAAGGGUGCAAGCGUUAAUCGGAAUUACUGGGCGUAAAGGGUGCGUAGGCGGUUCGUUAAGUCUGCUGUGAAAUCCCCGGGCUCAACCUGGGAAUGGCAAUGGAUACUGGCGGGCUAGAGUGUGGCAGAGGGGGGUGGAAUUCCACGUGUAGCAGUGAAAUGCGUAGAGAUGUGGAGGAACACCGAUGGCGAAGGCAGCCCCCUGGGUUAACACUGACGCUCAGGCACGAAAGCGUGGGGAGCAAACAGG
rnacentral:rRNA from 1 species